GUUAUAUCAAGGUUGGAGCUGUUGGGUCAGGAAGUCUUGUGGGAGAACAAAGAGAGGAGAGUGCAAAUAAUUUUAGAGAACCAGACAUCCUGGAAUGUGAAGUCAAGUGGGCCUUAGAAAGCAUCACUAUGAACAAAGCUAGUGGAGGUGAUGGCAUUCCAGCUGACAUAUUUCAAAUCAUGAAAGAUGAUGCUGUGAAAGUGCUGCACUCAAUAUGCCAGCAAAUGUGGAAAACUCAGCAGUGGCCACAGGACUGGAAAAGCAGUAAAGAAUUCACCUGCCAGUGCAAGAGAGGCAUCUUUGAUUCCCGAGUCAAAAAGGUCCCCUUGAGGAGGAAAUGACAAGUCACUCCAGUGUUCUUGCUGGGAAAUACCAUGGACUGAGGAGGCUAGUAGGCUACAUUCCAUAGGGUUGCAGAGUUGGACAUGACUAAGUGACUGAGCAAGGUGAGGCAAGAAAUAGUAACAUAAAUCUCAAAAAGUUAGCUAAUGAUUGUGGCAAAAAUUUAGAUGACAUUUGUAACAAUUCUUUGAGUUUCCAAUAAAGUCAUCAAAACUAUAUGAUAGCAUUAUCAAAAUAAUCAUAGUGCUAUUAUCCAUCUUAAUGUUUUAAUUUGUCUAGCUGUGGUUUGAUUCAUCUUGGAGAAACAGUCAUUUGGAGGUUUUUCCACUUAGGAAAAUAUAUUUGAAAUUUCAGGAAGUAUGAAUUCCACUGUUUCAGUCACAGUAAUUCUAUGUAUCUGCAUUUGUGUCUAUAUCUACAUCUGUAACUUUAUAGUAUAUAUUUAGCAAUAUAAAUUG
ensembl:lncRNA